rnacentral:misc_RNA from 1 species
UCCGGUUUAACACCGGCAGUCUCCCUAGAGUCCCCAACUGAAUGGUGGUAACUAAGGACAGGGGUUGCGCUCGUUGCAGGACUUAACCUAACAUCUUACGACACGAGCUGACGACAGCCAUGCAGCACCUAUCACCUUGUGCCCGAAGGCAAAGCUAUAUCUCUAUAGCGAUCAAGGGAUGUUAAGCCCAGGUAAGGUUCUGCGCGUUGCUUCGAAUUAAACCACAUACUCCACCGCUUGUGCGGGCCCCCGUCAAUUCCUUUGAGUUUUAGCCUUGCGACCGUACUCCCCAGGCGGGAUACUUAAUGCGUGAGCUUUGGUACCCAGUCGGUUAGACAACCGGACACCUAGUAUCCAUAGUUUACAGCGUGGACUAC